CGCUGGCGGCGUGCCUAAUACAUGCAAGUCGAGCGAAUGAUGAGGAGCUUGCUCCUCUGAUUUAGCGGCGGACGGGUGAGUAACACGUGGGUAAUCUGCCUGUAAGACGGGGAUAACUCCGGGAAACCGGGGCUAAUACCGGAUAAUAAGAGAAGAAGCAUUUCUUCUUUUUGAAAGUCGGUUUCGGCUGACACUUACAGAUGAGCCCGCGGCGCAUUAGCUAGUUGGUGAGGUAACGGCUCACCAAGGCGACGAUGCGUAGCCGACCUGAGAGGGUGAUCGGCCACACUGGGACUGAGACACGGCCCAGACUCCUACGGGAGGCAGCAGUAGGGAAUCUUCGGCAAUGGGCGAAAGCCUGACCGAGCAACGCCGCGUGAGCGAUGAAGGCCUUCGGGUCGUAAAGCUCUGUUGUUAGAGAAGAACAAGUACGAGAGUAACUGCUCGUACCUUGACGGUACCUAACCAGAAAGCCACGGCUAACUACGUGCCAGCAGCCGCGGUAAUACGUAGGUGGCAAGCGUUAUCCGGAAUUAUUGGGCGUAAAGCGCGCGCAGGCGGUCUCUUAAGUCUGAUGUGAAAGCCCACGGCUCAACCGUGGAGGGUCAUUGGAAACUGGGAGACUUGAGUGCAGGAGAGAAAAGUGGAAUUCCACGUGUAGCGGUGAAAUGCGUAGAGAUGUGGAGGAACACCAGUGGCGAAGGCGGCUUUUUGGCCUGUAACUGACGCUGAGGCGCGAAAGCGUGGGGAGCAAACAGGAUUAGAUACCCUGGUAGUCCACGCCGUAAACGAUGAGUGCUAGGUGUUGGGGGGUUCCACCCUCAGUGCUGAAGUUAACACAUUAAGCACUCCGCCUGGGGAGUACGACCGCAAGGUUGAAACUCAAAGGAAUUGACGGGGGCCCGCACAAGCAGUGGAGCAUGUGGUUUAAUUCGAAGCAACGCGAAGAACCUUACCAGGUCUUGACAU
rnacentral:rRNA from 1 species